UACGGAGGGGGCUAGCGUUGUUCGGAAUUACUGGGCGUAAAGCGCGCGUAGGCGGCUUUGUAAGUUAGAGGUGAAAGCCUGGAGCUCAACUCCAGAACUGCCUUUAAGACUGCAUCGCUAGAAUCGUGGAGAGGUGAGUGGAAUUCCGAGUGUAGAGGUGAAAUUCGUAGAUAUUCGGAAGAACACCAGUGGCGAAGGCGACUUACUGGACACAUAUUGACGCUGAGGUGCGAAAGCGUGGGGAGCAAACAGG
rnacentral:rRNA from 1 species